ensembl:lncRNA
AGACUGUUUAGCCACAUGCAACCUUUGGCACUGAGUCAGGCAUACUGAGAAGAGUCCUAUGGUCCUAAAGACUGUCUUGGCUGACGGAACCUGUCGAAGGCUCACUCUCUAAUGGAGCGCCCGAAUCAACUGAGGAUCUCAUCGUUGAAGUCAAGAGACAGUGUGGUCUUCAGGGCAGUUUCAGACUUCAGUUUAUGGAUUCCUUGUUUGGGAAUGAGUUUCUUAACCUUACCUCAGUUUCAGAAGUAGCAGACAAAGGGACUCUUAAAGCUAUUGACAUGUCAAAGCCCACCACAUGGACAUAAAAAAGAGUAACAGAGAUGGUGAAACUGAAGAUGGAAAAGACUUUUUCAUACAGAAGACAUGAAGUUGUUCGUGAUGCACCAAUGGUGGAGGCUUUCAUGGCAAGAUGGCCUGCUCUAUUUGACUUCCAUGAGAUCAACGCUGAGUUUAAGAGAAUUGCCACCAUCCCCCCUCAAACAAAGUUCCUGGCUCAGCUGGAUCUCCACUUGGGCAACCUGGUGAAGUUGGUCAACAGAAGAGGAGAGCUUGGACUAAUACUGGAAAGAAUUGUGGCACAAAAGGAUAAUUGUGAAGAUGUUGAUGCUGGACGUGAGUGUGUCAAGGGAGUGUGUAUCUACAUGGGUGAAGACCCUGACAUGCUUAUCCGGGAGUAUGUGGGCAUGGAAGAACGUGCCAUCAAUGAGACUGCUGAAGACACCACUGUUCGAAUUUAUCUUCUUAAAGAGCAAGCUUCAGCAGAAGAACAAGAGUUGUUCUUGCAGGCAUCAGGGUGGCGAAGAAUUUGGAUAAUGUAGCAUUUGCUGUGAUAAUGCUA